rnacentral:misc_RNA from 1 species
CCGAGUUUACAACUCCCAACCCAAUGUGAACGUUACCAAACUGUUGCCUCGGCGGGGUCACGCCCCGGGUGCGUAAAAGCCCCGGAACCAGGCGCCCGCCGGAGGAACCAACCAAACUCUUUCUGUAGUCCCCUCGCGGACGUAUUUCUUACAGCUCUGAGCAAAAAUUCAAAAUGAUCA